GCAUUCGUAAACACACCGCACACCGAGGAGGGUUUGCAGAGACAAAAGCUCACGUUGGAACAUCCUUGCCGUUGCCGUAAUACGUCGCAGCGACGACGUAGUUUUUCUUCAUUCUGGCGACAAAGUCAACAUAUCUGGGGCAAUGUAGACAAAAGGCGGCCCGGCUGUUGGGCGUGCAGCACAAUUUACCAGUGCCCUGCGGGGUUAUGGUUCCAAAAAUAUUGAUCAUUGCAUACCUUUGAUCUCAAAUCUUUUGUUAUAGUCUCGUUCGUUCUGCAAACCGAUGAAAUAGCUCUUAUCGUUCGUCUUGGGAGUACGCCCUGUUUUAAAGUUCUGUCACUCCAAUACUAUCAAUAGAAGAUACUCGAACGAAAAAAUCGAGUCUAAAUUCGAUGCGAGCAUGAGAAGAUCGAGAUAUCAAUAACUUCUAGUCUAUUAUGGUAAGCAAGCUACAGGUUUAUUGACACCGCAGCGAAAAUUUGUUGACGCCAAGCGUCGUACAGACGCUUCGGCUGAAAAACAUCCACCAUAAUACUGAUAAACUCAAAGCAGCGCUUUAUAAAGUACAAAUCACACGAGUGUAAUUCCGUUGGUUUUUUUCUCUAAAGACAGGCUUGCCGUCAAAAGCAAUUCAGGCGAGCGUUAUCCUCUCAGGAUACAAAAAAAAAAAAAAAAAAAUCUGUAGGCAUGAAAUCAGCAUUGCAUGUGACAGGAGGGUGCGAGUUUGUGUAAGGUUUUACUACAUAUUAAGCGAUCUCUAUCGCCUGUUUUUAAUGUAAACUUAAAUGUGCCCCAAAGAUCUAGAGAAGAAGAAAAAAAAAACAGCGUUAAAAUCGCUCCGAGCUUAAUGUAACUAAAAAUCCAACUUUUUUUCCUGAUGUACAAAUUAUAAAACCGUUCCGAUGUAGUUCCUAGGCUGACCUGCUUGUGUGAGGCUUGUUUCUGCCAAGAGACGUUCAUACAUGCAAGUGGGUGUUAUUGUCAGUGAAUUUUUUUUUCCUUUGCGAGACAUUUCUGUUAUUUCAGAAUUAUUUUAUCGUCAACAAAGAACUUUUUAGUUUUUGGCCUAAUUUUAAAACUUCUUUGAGAGAAGUAAUAUUUUUAGAGUUCAGAUAAGUACUCCCCAACGCGAGCGUUUGGUCGUUUGAUUUGACUCAAAAGAAUGUAGAGCUUAUUAUCUCUUUUUUGUGUUAAAUUAUACUUAGGAUUACACUUGAUAAUUGCUAUAUUUUAUACGUAUAUUUUUUUAAUUAUAUAUAUUUACGCGAUUAGUGGUUCUUAACGGUUGAUCGGGCGCCCCUACGGGGGCAGGGGCGCCACGGGUGAUCUGUCAUCGUAUCCCAAUGACCGAAAAUCGAGAAAAGGUAAUUCAAACGAAGCCCAACAACUCACAAAUAUAUAUCAACAACGUAUGUUUAUUAUACACCUAUUCAAACGUCUUUUCGGAAUUCGAAGCACCGUAUCUUCCAUAACGCUAUAGCCCCUGUUAAGACUGAAACAGUCCCGGAUGCAAACGUAAAAUUUUUUUACAUGGGAAGAUGUACAGAAAGAAACUAUAAAAAUAAAAUUUCAUGACGUUUGGUACACUUUGAAUUUUGAUCGAGGAAGCGAUCGUUUAGCUGUGAUUCCUCUAGAAAUGUUACAGUUCUAGUGCUUGUACACCGAAUGUUUCGGUAAGUCCUUUAUACGUGUGAUAAGGAGCCUUAAUAAUAAUGAUGAUUAAAAAAGUUUGAUACAUUUGCGAUUGUAUGAUUCACAGAACCUUUUUCGAGGUAAACCAUUUUUUGUACACUUAAAACUUUUGUGCAUCUUUUUAUCAAAUCGUCGGAGUUUAACAAAGUACGUAAUCUACAUCUUGCACUAACUAUUACUGAUUAUUACAUAGGUCUACACAAUUAAGCAAUAGCCAAUCGGGUGAAUUACCAAGUUACGCGAGGGAGUCGUGCGGAUCAUUUAAAUCAAAUUUGACAAUAUUAUUUCUGCCUAAUAUAGUUCAAUAGAAGUACCUAAAAUCAUUAAAGAUAAUUUUUUGACUAGUUAAGCUAAUAAAAAGUACGAAAUCAUUGUGUUUGAAAUUUUUUAACACUUAAUAAGUAGCAGAAGAAAAAUAUUUUCUUUUUUUGAUUUUUUUUUUAAAGAAGAACCGUUUGAAGAUUGCGACUAUCCUAUGACUUUUGCUUGCGUAAGCAAAAGUCAUAGGAUAGUUGCUUUCUAAGGGUUAUUUUUUAAAAACAUUUUUCAAACUGUUUGAAGAGUUUACCAAUUUCUUUUGCAAAAUAAGUACUUUAGAGACUUUAGAUUUUAAGUUUGUAGUAACGUAAACGACAUCACUAAGAUUCUAGUAAAAGAGAAUGUAAUGCGACAAAAUAAUCUUAAAAAGAAUACAGAAUUCAAAACCUUAAAACUUGUGGGAUAUUAUCAUAAUUGUUGAAAGUACAAUAGUGUUGAAUAAACACUGAGUGUAAGCUGUAAUAAAAGUGUAGGAACGUUAAGAUUAAAACUAAUUAAGCGACCUAAUCAAGCUAGACACCACAAAAAUUUUAUUGCAUAAAGUUUUGCAAAACCUAUUUAUCUAAAGUAAUUAAUACCUAUCUACUGUAUAUAUAUGCAGUAAACAUUAAAAAAUUAUCAAUAACAACUUGAUAAAUAAGAUCUCUGUAAUUUAAAAUUACCUUUUUUCAUCGUAUAAUCUGGAUUUGCGAUAUUAAGACCUUGAUAGAUCGCUAAAUAUUUUUUAAGUUGUCUCUGCAGGGCAUAAGAUUAAGUUGAAAUAAUUAACUAUUUAGCUUUUUGUUAUGUCUUGUGGAGACUUGAUUGAUUUAUAGUUGCCUUAAGAACAAAAGAAAGUGGAAAUUUUAAAUACGUUAUCUAAAGAGAUAUACAUAAGUAUCAUGAAGUUAAUGUUUUCUCGUAAAUUUCCUAGAUUCUCAUCUUUCUUAAAAGGUCAAUUAUUUUAGAUUAAAUUUUGCUCUACUUGUAAACCAGUCGAUUAAACUGAACACAUUAACUUCAUUACUGUACAUCAUUCAUCGUUUAACCUACAUAAAUAUUAAAAAUAAAAACCAUCUACUUUACCAUGAUUCAAACAAAAUAAAUCUCACUAAUUACAUCUUACAGUAGAGAGUCGUUUGCAUGUAAAAAUAAAAUUACAUAUUUUACCAUGGAGAAAAAAAAACACCUUAAUCUUAUAACACGAACAGGAAUCAUAAUUAGAUCUAUAUGUUAGAUUUAUGCAUUGCAAAGUUGAUCCAUUAUUUUUUGUCAAAUCUUAAUUGAAUAUUAUUAUAUUAAGAUUAUACUUUUAUUUUUAAUGCUUAAUUCGUACAAGUUUAGUGGUACAUGUUAGUCUCGAGAUAAAUAAAAAUGUUCAUGACAAAUUAUGAUUGUACAUAAUCUUGAAAAAUAGGGAUUAUGUUUGAUCAAUAUCGGGCUGAAUAUUUAAUUAUUUAAUCUUAAGAUGCUCAGUAAAUCAUUUAUUUUUAAGUCUUGCUGACACGGAUCUUUAUUAGACCCAAGACCUUAAAUAUUAUUUUUUUCAAUGACUGCAAACCUCACAAUAAAUAAUGAAAAAUAUUGAAAUAUAUUACGCAUGAUAAAAUUAAAAGUGUUUAAAAAUCUUAAGAUAAAGUAUAUAAACUAUUCAUGGUUAGUCUAAGUAAUUGUAAUCUACUAAUGCGUAAGAUUAUUUUUGACUAAGCUUACAAUGAAUAUUACAGUAGCAUUUUAUCUUAAGAGUUUAAUACAGUUAGGAAAAGAUUUACAUUGUUAGUGUAAUGAUCAAAGGGCUUGCAAAAAAAAAAAAAAAAAAUUAGCAGUGCUAAAAAAAUAAGGAUUAUGUUCUGACCAUUUCAUAUACAGCUUGUCGUGUAGGUUAACCUUAAAUAUAACAUAAACCGAGUUCUUUUAGUAUAGCAGUUACUGACUUUUUUCUUUGUAAUAUCUCAUGUUGUAACACUGUAAUUCAAUUCUUUACUUACUUAAUUCUUAUACUUACACAACAUUAAAAUUUAUUCGAAUUGAUAUUUAUUUAUAGUGUUUAAAAUAUAAGAUCAAACGUUUGAUUCAACCUUCAAAAUAGAAGAUUAUUAAAAUGAAAACAAUGAGAGACCGAAGCUUGAUCAUGAAAUGUUUGGUUCCUAACUGAUAAAGAUUGUAGGGUGAAAGGGAACAAACUAAACUCACUGUUAGGCUAAUAAUUUAUGAAAAUGCGGUAGUUCUCGCAAAAGUGCUCUAAAAAUAUGCUGAUUUGUGUAUUGUAUAGUCAUUUUGAAUAAAAAAAAAAAAAAAAAAAAAAAUGAUUAAUAAACAUGAUUCUUCGCCAGUUAACUAAAUUAACUUCUUCGAUGUUAUAUAAUUGUAUAUGUAUGACACAAUAAAAUUGAAAGGAAUGACAUUUAAUAGUAAUCAUAAAUAUUAAUAGAAGCCGAAAUUUAAAAGAUAUUUAAUAUUUUAUUAAAUGAUAGAAGUAUAAUAAAUCGUAAGAUUUGACAUCUAAUACACAUACUAUGAAAAACAUUGUGUCGCAUAAUAUUACAAUUUAAUUAUUAACUUCUUUGCGUAUAAAAUUGCAUUUACAACCAUAACAUAAAUUAUUUAAAUGUUUUUAAGUAAUUAACUCUUAAAUGUGGAACACUUGAUAGGUUUACAAACAGAAUUGACUAAAAUAUUAAGAUCAAUUAUUUACCACCAUCGUAUUGAGUAGGUUCUUGCCUCAUCACGUAAUACUGAUAAACUCAUAAUGCGUAUACUCUAACUUGUAUUUGCACAUUAUCCAAGUCAUCGUAUUUUCUCAAUAAGUAUAUGGAAUAAUGAUGAGUUUAGAAACUUCUAAACACAUCUCACAUUACAUCUGCAUCUAUUAGGUAUUAACCUAAUUUUUGUAUCAAACAAAUGAUAAAUAGUCAAAAGUCUUUUUUGGUAAUGAAAAAUUUUGUUAUAACAGCAAAGUCACAUUUGAUGUAAGUUUUUUAUUAAAUCAUAAAGUUAUUUAAGCACGAAUGUUACUACGUUCUCACAAGGGCACUAUCAUUAGAUAAUCCCAAUCAUUUUUCCUAUUACUUAGUCUUUUUUUUUUAGAAAUAAGCAUGCUUUCUAUUUUUUUAGUACCACCUUUCUAAUAUUCUUUUCUAUCAUCGCUGCAAAGUCCAUCACAACAUUUUUUUAAUAAAAAAGAUCAAGUCACAUAAAUAUGAUGAGCGUUUUUAUGUCAUGUUAGGGUUAGCCACUUAAAAUAGCUAAGGUUAACAUUUCUUUGAUAAGGUGAAAGUAAUAUGAAAAAAAAAAAAUAAAAAUAAAAAUAAAAUAAAAUGAAACGGAAAUAAAAUGCAAAACUGAUUUAUAAAUGGAAGAAAUUAUUAACGUCAUUUGAUAAAUGGUAAAAAUGCAUAGCUAUAUGUCAUUGAAGCUUUAUGGUGUUACGCGUGAUUUAGGGCAGUAGGUUCAUAAUGAUAAAUUAAGUCACACUCUAGCAGAUAUAACUCAUUAUAAUAUUUGUGGUAUAUUUGGUAGAAAUAAUUAUGUAAGUCUACAUGGAGUGGCAUUAUAAUCUUAGAUUCAAUAACGAUAUGAUUAAAACAUGACUUGAGUGUUGAAGAAUUUAUAAAUAUAAAGGUACACCAUGUUACUUCUUGAUCGACAUUCUAUUAAUAUACUUACGAAGCAAAAAAAGUACGAUAAAACACUACCACAAGAAUUAAAGUUUUGAUGUCGUAAUUUAUGCAUAUGUCUUACUAUAACUGUGCUCGCAUUACAACCUCUUAAAAGUGUAGCUAAGAGUUGAUGAGAAUCGAAUUAAAAAGAACCAUUAUGUAAGUGGAGUAUCCGAUCCACGAUUAAUUGUGUCAGAGAAGUAAAAAACAUUGAUAUGUAGAUUUAAGGAGUAAAAUGAAAAAGGAUCCGUAACUUGGUAAUUUGCGUGUAUAAGGAAA